UUAACUCGGGUUCUCCGUUCGUACGUUAACUCGGGUUCUCCGUUCGUAGGUUAACUCGGUUCUCCGUUCGUACGUUAACUCGGUUCUCCGUUCGUACGUUAACUCGGGUUCUCCGUUCGUACGUUAACUCGGUUCUCCGUUCAUACGUUAAGUCGGUUCUCCGUUCAUACGUUAAGUCGGUUCUCCGUUCAUACGUUAAGUCGGUUCUCCGUUCGUAGGUUAACUCGGGUUCUCCGUUCGUACAUUAACUCGGUUCUCCGUUCGUAGGUUAACUCGGGUUCUCCGUUCGUAGGUUAACUCGGGUUCUCCGUUCGUACAUUAACUCGGUUCUCCGUUCGUAG